AUGGCUGCUGCUUUCGUCUCGUCGAGGAGCCUGGCCGCGACCUGCCUCCUCGCCCUGCUCCUCGCCGGCUGCCUGGCCGUCGCGAUGCCCACCGCCAACGCGCGCCGUCUCCUCGUCGAGGCCAUGCCACCUGCGGCGUCCCCGGGGUUCGCGCCGUCGCCGGCGUCGGGCGCUGAGGACGGUCACCACGCGGGCCGGAGUCUUUUCGAAGGUCGUGGCCUGCUCGCCGGUGGCCUCCGGGUCGCGGGGAGGCUGCUCAUUGGUGUUGAACUCUGA
rnacentral:rRNA from 1 species